rnacentral:rRNA from 1 species
AUACAGAGGGUGCAAGCGUUAAUCGGAUUUACUGGGCGUAAAGCGCGCGUAGGUGGCCAAUUAAGUCAAAUGUGAAAUCCCCGAGCUUAACUUGGGAAUUGCAUUCGAUACUGGUUGGCUAGAGUAUGGGAGAGGAUGGUAGAAUUCCAGGUGUAGCGGUGAAAUGCGUAGAGAUCUGGAGGAAUACCGAUGGCGAAGGCAGCCAUCUGGCCUAAUACUGACACUGAGGUGCGAAAGCAUGGGGAGCAAACAGGAUUAGAUACCCUGGUAGUCCAUGCCGUAAACGAUGUCUACUAGCCGUUGGGGGAUUUGAUCCUUUAGUGGCGCAGCUAACGCGAUAAGUAGACCGCCUGGGGAGUACGGUCGCAAGACUAAAACUCAAAUGAAUUGGCGGGG